rnacentral:rRNA from 1 species
ACGUAGGUGGCGAGCGUUGUCCGGAAUUACUGGGUGUAAAGGGAGCGCAGGCGGGGGGACAAGUCAGCUGUGAAAACUAUGGGCUUAACCCAUAAACUGCAGUUGAAACUGUUCUUCUUGAGUAGAGGAGAGGUAAGCGGAAUUCCGGGUGUAGAGGUGAAAUUCGUAGAUAUCAGGAGGAACACCAGUGGCGAAGGCGACCUACUGGGCUUAAACUGACGCUGAGGCGCGAAAGUGUGGGUAGCAAACAG